AAUUAACGCAUGGCGGCAUGCCUAACACAUGCAAGUCGCACGAGAAAGCCCGGUUCGCCGGGCGAGUAAAGUGGCGCACGGGUGAGUAACGCGUGGAUAAUCUACCUCUUUCUGGGGGAUAACGCACCGAAAGGUGCGCUAAUACCGCAUAACCCGGUUGAUUUUUGGAUUGAUCGGUAAAGGUGGCCUCUUCAUGAAAGCUACCGGGAAGAGACGAGUCCGCGUCCCAUUAGCUUGUUGGUAGGGUAACGGCCUACCAAGGCGACGAUGGGUAGCUGUCUGAGAGGACGAUCAGCCACACUGGAACUGGAACACGGUCCAGACUCCUACGGGAGGCAGCAGUGAGGAAUAUUGCGCAAUGGGGGAAACCCUGACGCAGCGAUGCCGCGUGAGUGAAGAAGGCCUUCGGGUCGUAAAGCUCUGUCAAGUGGGAAGAACAGUUUGGGGACGAAUAAUCCUUGAGCCUGACGGUACCACUGAAGGAAACACCGGCUAACUCCGUGCCAGCAGCCGCGGUAAGACGGAGGGUGCAAGCGUUAUUCGGAUUUAUUGGGCGUAAAGAGCGUGUAGGCGGCCGGCCAAGCCAGAUGUG
rnacentral:rRNA from 1 species